AGGGGUGUGUCAUUUCUUUCUUAGCAUAGGGGAUUUACUUCCCUAACUACAAAUAUGUUGAACACACAUGGCGAUACUCACUUCAUUUUUAAAACAGAGGAAACAGCUCAGAUCCCUUGCCAUAGUCUCCAUGGUUGAAGAAACUUAAAGGACCAAUUUUGCCAACUACUUCACCAAACUUUACCACCUCUUGCUACUGAGAGUGCCCAGUGGCCUGGAAUUCAACAAGCAGCCUCUGACAGCUGGCCAAAGAGCCCUCGGGGAUUUACCUGAUUCUGCCUCCAUAGCCCUGGGAUUACAGACAUGUGCCACUCCAGACAUGGCUCCUUUCACAUGGGUCCUGGAGACUGAACUCUGGUCCUCAUGUGUGAGAGACAACCACUUUCCAACGGAGCCAUCUCUCCGGUACCAAGUAUUUUCUGAUAGUCAUACAAAUGUAUGACUUGCAUUUGGGUGUUCUGUAUGGCUCAUAUCUGUUCAGAUCGAAUCUUCUGACUCAGAAGUCACCCCUGGUUGUCACAUACAGCUGUUUAGCUGGGUUUUCUACAACCAGUUUCGAAUGGGCUGCCAAAUGUCACCCAGAGGGCCAUCUUGGACCUGCAUUCAACCCUUCUAUGCAUCCAGAGUGCAACAGUGUCCACGGGGAAGCCAUUUCUAAUCUAAUAAUUUCUAGAUAUAAUCAAGUCUUACUGGGCUUCAUCUAAGCAGCAAUUAAUUAUCUUGACCCUAAAACUCACUCAUUUACUUGAAAAUUGGAAUGGCUUAGACUUCUCCUCCCCCUGCUCUUGGGGACUGUUAUUCAUUCCGUCAUUUAAAAUUCUUUUCCUUUGGGCUGAUAAUGAGCUCUUUUUGUAAGGCAGUUUUGAGACAGCUCAGAAAAUAACUACUACAUAAAAAACAAAUUGCCAUGGAUUGUAUAAUAGAGACAACAGGGGUCAAUUACACUCAUUCAUCAACCAAGACAGAACAAGAAGUACUGAGGCUUAAGCACAGCCAGGAAAACGUGUUGUAAACCAGGAGGGAGGGAAGAAAACAGCAAAGAGGAGGGGGGGAAAGAGGAAAUAAAACGCCUCAAGCUACCACAAUUCCUAAGAAGCCACCUAGGGAGACUGUGUGAAGGGCAGCCAUUAAAAGUAUUUAAGUCUUUAUUGCUAUUUAUUUUGAAUGACGACAUUCCAAAUGGUAUGGGUGCAAGGGGGAAGAGGUUGAUGACCCAUUUUGUGAUAAAAAAUUAACAGACGUCCAGCAGCUCUACUUGCAGCCAUUAAGUAUGGUUGUGCAAAUGGACAGUGCCUUGGAAAAAUUUACAGUAUAAAAGAGUUAUGCCCUUUGACACAGUUUCAUUCCUAGGAACUUAUCCCAUAAAACGACCCCUCCAACUGAAAAAUGGAUUAUAUUUUAGGAAAUGUAUGGGAAGAUUAUGAAACUUUAGAGAAGGCAGAAAUAACUUUGCAUUAACAAAAAAUGACAUGAGAUUUACCCAAGACAUCUCUAAGCCCCUAGGAUAUCAUACAGGCAUGAAACUGUGUGGUUUGCGGGGAAAAAUCAUGAAAAAAAUAAUUGUUAAGGCUUUGGCUAAAAAGACUAACUGCCAACAUAUGGAAUUACUAGAGUUAUGCAAACUAUGGAAAGAAGAGAAAAAUGUAAGAAAAAUAAUUGUUUUGAACUUGUGGCAAAUGUCUUCAACCUCUUUGUACUUUUUAAAGUUUUCACUCAUGAUUGUGAAAGGAUUUCAGCAAUAAAAAAAAUCUGUCAGCCUA